rnacentral:rRNA from 1 species
UACAGAGGUGGCAAGCGUUGUUCGGAAUUACUGGGCGUAAAGGGCGAGUAGGCGGCGUUCUAAGUCAGACGUGAAAUCCCCCCGGCUCAACCUGGGAACUGCGUCUGAUACUGGGAGGCUAGAGUAUGGGAGAGGGAUGUGGAAUUCCAGGUGUAGCGGUGAAAUGCGUAGAUAUCUGGAGGAACACCGGUGGCGAAGGCGGCAUCCUGGACCAUAACUGACGCUGAUCCGCGAAAGCUAGGGGAGCAAACGGGG